rnacentral:rRNA from 1 species
UACGUAGGGUGCAAGCGUUGUCCGGAAUUACUGGGCGUAAAGCGCGUGUAGGCGGUUGCCCUAGUCAGGUGUGAAAGCCUUGAGCUUAACUCAAGAAAUGCACUUGAUACUGGGCGACUAGAGGACCGGAGAGGAUAGUGGAAUUCCCAGUGUAGUGGUGAAAUACGUAGAGAUUGGGAAGAACACCAGUGGCGAAGGCGGCUAUCUGGACGGUUACUGACGCUAAGACGCGAAAGCGUGGGGAGCAAACAGG